UACAGAGGUGGCAAGCGUUGUUCGGAAUUACUGGGCGUAAAGGGCGCGUAGGCGGUCUUGUCAGUCCCUUGUGAAAUCCCCCGGCUCAACUGGGGAACUGCAAGGGAAACAGCAGGGCUUGAGUUCGGGAGAGGGAAGCGGAAUUCCGGGUGUAGCGGUGAAAUGCGUAGAUAUCAAGAGGAACACCUGAGGUGAAGACGGGUUGCUGGGCCGACACUGACGCUGAGUGCGCGAAAGCCAGGGGAGCAAACGGG
rnacentral:rRNA from 1 species